rnacentral:rRNA from 1 species
GACGAACGCUGGCGGCGUGCUUAACACAUGCAAGUCGAACGGAAAGGCCCUGCUUUUGUGGGGUGCUCGAGUGGCGAACGGGUGAGUAACACGUGAGUAACCUGCCCUUGACUUUGGGAUAACUUCAGGAAACUGGGGCUAAUACCGGAUAGGAGCUCCUGCUGCAUGGUGGGGGUUGGAAAGUUUCGGCGGUUGGGGAUGGACUCGCGGCUUACCAGCUUGUUGGUGGGGUAGUGGCUUACCAAGGCUUUGACGGGUAGCCGGCCUGAGAGGGUGACCGGCCACAUUGGGACUGAGAUACGGCCCAGACUCCUACGGGAGGCAGCAGUGGGGAAUAUUGCACAAUGGGCGGAAGCCUGAUGCAGCAACGCCGCGUGCGGGAUGACGGCCUUCGGGUUAUAAACCGCUUUCGCCUGUGACGAAGCGUGAGUGACGGUAAUGGGUAAAGAAGCACCGGCUAACUACGUG